CUGCUGAUGUUUCUUGCCAGCCUCCCACGUUGUUUGAAGAAGUACUUACUGCAUCUGUAAGAGUUUGUCAGGAUCUUGCUGUUUGCAGUUCAUCCACUUAAACUCAUUAAAGCCUUUAGGGUGUUUAUGUAUACAUAUGUAACUAACCUGCACAUUGUGCACAUGUACCCUAAAACUUAAAGUAUAAUAAUAAUAAAAAAAUAAAAAAUUAAAAAUUAAAAAAAUCCAUUACCAAGGAGCUAUGCAUCAUUUUGGUCACUGCAGUAAUGAGGAUUAUGCUAGGCAGUAUUACAAUAACAAACUACACAUUCUCAGUGGCUUAACACAAGACAGACUUUAUUUCGCAUUUAUGAAAAUUCUGAUGCCGGGUGGAGGGCUCUCCUUCAUAUGGUCACUUCACCACUAGCUGCACAUUGCCUUCAGGGCUGUGGUGGCUGAGGAAGAGAGAGCUGAAGGCUUUAUAGGUGGGCCUACAAGUGUCAUUCAUCACUUUCUCCUGUGCAGUGACCAGAUCACAGCUACAUGGUCUCAAUCUAACUG
rnacentral:lncRNA from 1 species